GGACUGCAGGAGCAACUAGCUUCCUAUAUUGGACUCCCGGCCCUGAUGAAUAAAAUGAGGAAUGAGCUUCAUAAAAGGGAAUUUUAAUGCCAGAAAAGGAAGGUAGGAAGGUAAGACUGAUCUUGCAAAGAUGAUAGGAAAGAAAGAUGGCAUGGCAAUAUAUUUUUAAAGAAAACAAUUUAAUCGAUCAAUCAAAAUUGAAUGUUGGAAAGUUUCGAAGAUGAUCUAAAUUGACAGAGUACUACGUUUUUUUAUUCUGAUAAAGAUACACUGGUAGAUGUUUGCUUUCGGCAUUUUGGUAUGUGAGAAGGUACCAGGUUUCUAGCAGGCAGGAAAUCCGAGCUAUUAUUGUAGUCGUCAAAUCUUGGUCUUUGAGGAUUCUGGUAACUCUACUUCUCAUCUUUUUCGGGUGUCAUUCAAACCUGUAUAUACUCAACUUGUGAUGUUUCCUACUUAUACAUGAGUGCCUAACUGCUAUUUAUUCUCAUUCAUGCCUGAUAUGUUGAUUUUAUAGAGGACUUACAUGUUUUUUUGUAAUUGACAUGUUAUGAUUAAGAGUAAAUUUCCGAGAGGUUGUCUGCCAUGGCUCUCUAAUAUGUGCUUCUCCCUAGUUUUUCAUGAUUUCAUACACAUCACCAAUUGAUAAACAAUGGAUAUUAGCUUCUUAAAUAUCCAAAAAUUGCCCUAGUACUAUGCUACUCUGUACUGAGGACGAAAUGCUUCCAUGAACAGAGUUUCACCACUUGCUAUUUGUGUAUGCAUGCAAGAUUUUUCUCUCUAUUGAUUGUCACUACUUUCACCACUUUUUUAUGGGUUAUUAGUGUAGGCUUCAUUUCUCUCUCGGGUUGAUCUGAAAACUUGUUGCUUACUAACUUCUGGAGAACUAGGUUUCCCGUGCUUCAAUAAAGUGACAAUAGUGUUCUUUGGUGCCCGAUUUCUUGAGCUAAUGAGAGAGAACUAUUCCGGUUUUGAAAAAUUAAUUGAAAAAGCCAUAGGGCCGAUCGAAUGGAUGAGAGCUUUAUGAGUUGCAAUCUUGUUGAUAUUGGUGCAUAAAAAUGAUUUAGGCAAUAGGACAAAAAGCCUCAUAUCCAAAUUAUCACAUGCCUAACCCUACAUAAACCCCUAGUGAGCCAUUUUGAGCCCCAAAAACCUAAUUUCUUUGUUUAAAAAUUUUGAAGUCACUAUAUUAGCCCUACUUAUUAUAUCCAUUUGUCGGCCUAUAUUUUCUACCAUAGUCACUAAAAUUAAAAUGCUAGCACAUUCUUGGGAGGGUUUUAAUGGUGGCAAGGAAAAGAUGGAAGUCCUGUAACAUUCUUGGGAGGGUACUUAUGGUGGCAAGAAAAAGAUGGAAGUCCUGGAACAUUCAUCAGGUGGUAUUCAUUUAUACUGAGAUACAAAGUGAAAAAGCUUCGUCUUCAAACAAAAAUAAAAUAAAAAGGCAGCCUUUAAAGUGUAAAAAAAAUCCAAGGCUAGAAAAAAAAGACAGCCUUUCAUGUGUAAAAAAAAGCCAAGGCCAGAAAAGUAAAAGGCAACCUUUCAUGUGUAAAAAAAAGCCAAGGCUAGAAAAGUAAAAGGCAGCCUUUCAUGUGUUAAAAAAAGCCAAGGCUAGUAAAAAAUAAAAAUAAAAGGCAGCCUUUCAUGUGUAAAAAAAAAACCAAAGGCUAGAAAAAAAGUGAAAAAUAGAAAUCUGCUCAAAAGAAUAUGAUGACUUUGUUUAGAUGGUAGAAAAAUUCGAGUUUUAGGUGUUGAGAUGUCAGAAUUUCGCACGCAUUGAGUGAGAUGUGAAGGAUGUUGUGAAGGAUGCUAUGAUGGAUGUGCUAGUAUUUUAAGAAGGUGAUAAGCUACUUAACCAAAUAUGAUCACACCUUUACCAAAAGCCCCAUUACAUCCAAAUGAAUAAGACCUUUUGAUUUAUGCAUCAUACUGACUUGUGAGCGAUGAAUUUUGCUUGAGUUUGGGAGAAAGAUCUUAUGUGCUUAAAAGAAAGAAUAGCCGGAAGAUAUUCUCUUUAUGAAUUAGUGACGAUGGUUUGAGACUCCCAAGACAUAAAUCGAACUUACAUUGAAGUAUUGGGAUGCCUAGCUCUUAGGGAAUUAGUUCGUGUACAAUUCUUGUUCUAAAGUCUUACCCGCGAGUGAAUUCGGGGUCAACCUAAUAUCUCUAAAUGAUUUGUGUGAUUUGACGUGACUUGAAGUAGAGGAUUAUCUAAUGUCUUGUGAAUGUGCUUAUUUGUCUAACUUGACUUGAAGUAGAGCAAGACUUAUGUUUUGGCGUAUUUGAUGUGUGUGGGUAAUUGUUUAACUUGUUAUUAUACAAUGGAUGGAAUGGAGGGUAGCGUACUAUUGCUCCAGUUCAAUUUUGACCAUCUCACUAUUUAUUCCAGUGAGUUGAAGGGUAUAAAGCUGCAACCAAUAUUUGCUUCAAUAGUCAAACAUUUAUUUUUAUAAACCUAAAUCUUUCUGAUGCUCUACACUUGUCGGUACCUGAUAAAAUUGGGGUUGUACUUGCUUUGUCUAUUUCUGAAGAACACGAUAUAUUCACUAUGCCUGGAUGUGUGGUUAGUUAUUCUCUUCUUUGUACAUACAUUUAGAUAUAAUUUUUUGUUUAGUUGUAGGAAGUGGAAUACAUACAACAGCUUAUAAUUUUUACCUCCUUGGAAUUCUUCUACAUGUUGCACUAAACCUGUAACCCUUUUCUUGGUUGUAUGCAGGAAAGACUUUGUGUUUGAGUCAGAUCACAGAGCAAUCAUGCUGCGUUUGAGGCUAUUGAGAUAAUUCAGCAUAUUCUAGUAUUACUCCUAGUCGAUUUGAAGGCCUCUCUAAGCAUUUAGAUUCAUUCUUGCAAAUGUUAUCUCUUGUGCAACUAAGAUGUUUUCCGUGAAAGUUCCUAUGCAUAAAUAGACUAGAAAGUACUUAGUCGAUCUAAAGGUCGAGGGUGGUAGGGGGCGACUGAGUUCUUAACAUAAAAGAAACGGGUGGAAAGGAUGGAAAACUGAAGGCACAAGUCUAUUUAUUGAUUUUUGAGCUUGCUUUGCUUGAUCUUUUGCUUCUUGGUUGUUGCACCUAUAUUUUUCUGCUUAUUUAAUUCAUUCUUUGCUGCAUUUUUGCAGAUUUAUAAUUAAUCUGUUAAAUAUAUUAUAUUUUUGUAAGUUAUACUGAGGCUGACGUUUUUCUUCUUUUUCUAAUCCACUGUUUGCUGUCUUGCUGCUCUAUAAAUAAUACAUGCAUAGUAUCCUAUUUUUCUUUAUCUCAUAUGCCUGCACAAAUAUGUGUUAUAUUAGUGUUUCUUUGAUAUAUAAACCCCCAUUGAUUGUCAAAUCUUGGCAUCUUAAUAUAUGUUUCUUUCCCAAGUACUUACUAGACACAUUUCCUUUUUACUUUGGCAUUAGGUUUGCUGAACUUGCAUCUAAAAAGAAAUCAUGGGCCUUGGAAGCUGGUUGAGCUCUCAAUUGAGUCUUUAACAAAUGUAUAUAGUAUUUACCGUACAUGCAAUAUCUACACUUUGAGAAGAUUUUGCCUUUUAUACAUAUGCAGUUUUCAAUUUCUCAUUUGUUUUGCCUACUGUUAACAUGGGCAUUUGUUUUGUAUAGUUUCUUGCAUUGCUGAAAAAAUGUUUGGCAUAGAUUCAAGAGAGUUAAAUGCUCCCACCGAGGCAAGUUACCCGAAGGGCCAACUGGAACGUAAUACAAAGCGCUUGGCAGAUGUCGUCUCAGAUGCUUCAAAUUUUCGGAUCGGUCAUUAAGCAUCAACGUGUGACUCACCUUACCUUACGCUGGGUAUUGCUUUACGAGCUGAUUUAGAUGCUUUGAGGAAGCUUGCAUAUUGGGAAGCUUGUCCCUUCCUCGGUUAUCAGUUAAUGUUAUUAUUGUGAGUUUUAGCUUCCUCGGUUAUCAGUUGAUGUUAUUAUUGUGAGUUUUAGUCUUACUUUGGAUUUAUGACAUUAUGAUGUUUUCCUUUGGGGGUAAGGCAUUGGAGCAGUUUGUGGACCGUCUCAUUUGAGUAUUACUGCUCCAGUUUAGUUUUGACCACCUCAAUAUAUUCAAACAUUUUUUUUAUUAAACCUAACUUUAGUUCGAUAUUAAGUGUGUCAUUCAUACUAAUUACUAAAGCUGAAGAACUACUGCAAAAUCUUUCUGAUGCUUUACACUUGUCGAUACCCAAUAAAAUUGGAGUUGGUCUUGCUUUGUCUCAUUCUGAAGAACACGAUAUCUUCACGAUACCAGGAUGUGUGGUUAGUUAUUCUCUUCUUUGUACAUACAUUUAGAUAUAAUUUUUGUUUAACAUAUUCUGUUGUGUGCCAAUUCUGUUGCGUUUGAGGCUUCUGAUGUAAUUUAACAUAUUCUCGUGUCACUCUUAGUCGAUUUGAAGGCCUCUCUAAGCAUUUGGAUUCAUUCUAUUUGAAGGCCUCUCUAAGCAUUUAGAUUCAUUCUUUCCAAUGUUAUCUCUUGUGCAACUAAGGUGUUUUCUAUUAUAGUUCCUAGUGCAUAAAUAGAGUAGAAUAUACUUAGUCGAUCUGAAGGUCGGGGGUGGUAGGUGGCAACUGAGUUUUUAACUUAUAAGAAACGGGGGAAGGUGUGGAAAAUAGAAGGCACAAGUCUAUUUAUUGGUUUUUGAGCUUGCUUUGCUUGGUCUUCUGCUUCCUGGUUGUUGCGCCUAUAUUUUUCUACUUAUUUUAUUCAUUCUUUGCUGUCUUUUGCAGCUAUAUAAUUAAAUUGUUACAUAUAUUAAAUUUUUGUUUGUUAUACUGUGCUUGACGUUUUUCAUCUUUUUCUAAUCCAAUUUUUGCUACCUUGCAGCACAAUUAAUUAAUAUUCUCAUAUGCCGUGUACAAAUAUGUGCAAUAUUAGUGUUUCUUAGAUUUACAGGCUCUUUCCCAACUAAAGUUACUUACUAGACACAUUUCCUUUUUACUUUGGCAUUAAGUUUGCUGUACUUGCAUCUAAAAAAGAAAUCAUGGGCCUUGGAAGCUGGUGGAGCAAUCAAUGAGUGUCAGCAAUCAAUAAGGAUCAGUCAUUAAGCAUCAAUGUGUGACUCACCUUACGUGGGGUAUUGCUUUACGAGCUGUUUUAGAUGCUUUGAGGAAGCCUGCAGAUUCAGAAGUUUGUUCCUUCCUAGUUUAUCAGUUAAUGUUAUUAUUGUGAAUUUCAGUCUUACCUUGAAUUUAUGACAUUCUGAUGUUUUCCUUUGGGAGUAUGGCAUUCGAGCAGUUUGUGGACCAUCUCAUUGAGUGGCCACAGUAUGCCAUCAUAUCCUGCACUUAGUAGCAUUUAUAGAUGGGGCACUCAACAGUAUUUCCACGGCUUAUACUGAACCUGAUGUUGGCCAUACUGCCAAUACUGGUUGUGGAUAAUACUUCUACUCCAAGUGAUUUGUGUGAACUCAUGAUCACUGCAAUUUUGUCCUUCUGGUUUCAGAUUGCAGGCCCACCAUUUUCUCUGAUCGGACCCAGCAGCAAUUAUCUGGAUUAGCAAUUCCCUCUUCGAUCCCACUGCAACAUAGACCACCAAGUUCUCUCAGUUCACUCCUAAUUACAUGAAGCCAUCACAACACACCUACCCUUCCUAAGUCACUCAGUGGUGCUUUGCUGUCAAUACAAUCUGCCUCGUCGGAUUUCCGUGGGCUUCUAGAUCAACCUCAGCAAGCAAGUAAAUAAUCAGGUUUAACUGUGCUACUCUCUCUCACUGUGCGCUUUAUGGAUUACAUUAACAUGGGGACUGGUUUUACAACCAUGAGAAGAGAAACUCCCAUAGAGGUGAUUGGAUGUAGCUAUCUUAUCAUUUUUAAUUCUCUGUUUACACUUUGUCUUGAUCCUUUUGGUUUUCCCAUGCUUUUACUUCGAGGAUUUUCUUCCUUGUUAUGAGUUAGCAAUUAAAAGUUCUAUUAAUAGCACAUUUAACUUUAUCCCACUGGUUAACUAAAAUCUCACACUUCUAAAUUCUUUCUUAACUCCCGACUACUUUCUCGUUUUCCUUUUCCCCUUUAGUUUCUUUAUUAUUUGUUUUCUUCCCUGUGCAAUGGAGGCGUUCUGAUUCUGGUUCAGGCCAUCAUGAACUUAAAGUUAUCGUGCUCAGACAAUAUUUCCUCAUACAUGGCUGUUAUCUCCUGCCUAAAAUCUAAAGCUUUAUCUAUUUGUGAUUUUUUCUGUUGCAGCUUAUGCAACUCUGUGAAGCUGAAAGUGUAUCAUACCCGGAUGACGUGGCCAGCAACACAGCAACUCAGGAUAUGGCAAAGUCAGCUGGACUCGAGGUUCUUGCAUUGCUGAAAAAAGCUUGGUAUAGAUUCAAGACAAUUAAAUGCUCCCUCCGAGGCAAGUUACCGAACCGGCAAUGGAGCUUAAGACAAAGCUCUUGGCAGAUGCCGUCUCAAAUGCUUCAAAUUAUCAGUCAUUCAUCAUGAAUUGUGUUUAUUCUGUUUGUAUUUUGUGUAUGUAUUUUGUGUAUUGUGUAGUGUUUUUUUGUAUGCA